rnacentral:miRNA from 1 species
ACUGACAUCCUAGAAGUGCAAA